GACGGUACCUGAAGAUAAGCCCCGGCUAACUACGUGCCAGCAGCCGCGGUAAUCGUAGGGUGCAAGCGUUAAUCGGAAUUACUGGGCGUAAAGCGUGCGCAGGCGUUUUGUAAGUCUGAUGUGAAUCCCCGGGCUCAACCUGGGAAUUGCAUUGGAGACUGCAAGGCUAGAAUCUGGCAGAGGGGGGUAGAAUUCCACGUGUAGCAGUGAAAUGCGUAGAGAUGUGGAGGAACACCGAUGGCGAAGGCAGCCCCCUGGGUCAAGAUUGACGCUCAUGCACGAAAGCGUGGGGAGCAAACAGGAUUAGAUACCCUGGUAGUCCACGCCCUAAACGAUGUCUACUAGUUGUCGGGUUUUAAUUAACUUGGUAACGCAGCUAACGCGUGAAGUAGACCGCCUGGGGAGUACGGUCGCAAGAUUAAAACUCAAAGGAAUUGACGGGGACCCGCACAAGCGGUGGAUGAUGCGGAUUAAUUCGAUGCAACGCGAAAAACCUUACCUACCCUUGACAUGGAAGGAAUCCCGAAGAGAUUUGGGAGUGCCCGAAAGGGAACCUUUACACAGGUGCUGCAUGGCUGUCGUCAGCUCGUGUCGUGAGAUGUUGGGUUAAGUCCCGCAACGAGCGCAACCCUUGUCAUUAGUUGCUACGAAAGAGCACUCUAAUGAGACUGCCGGUGACAAACCGGAGGAAGGUGGGGAUGACGUCAAGUCCUCAUGGCCCUUAUGGGUAGGGCUUCACACGUCAUACAAUGGUACAUACAGAGGGCCGCCAACCCGCGAGGGGGAGCUAAUCCCAGAAAGUGUAUCGUAGUCCGGAUUGUAGUCUGCAACUCGACUACAUGAAGUUGGAAUCGCUAGUAAUCGCGGAUCAGCAUGUCGCGGUGAAUACGUUCCCGGGUCUUGUACACACCGCCCGUCACACCAUGGGAGCGGGUUUUACCAGAAGUAGGUAGCUUAACCGCAAGGAGGGCGCUUACCACGGUAGGAUUCGUGACUGGGGUGAAGUCGUAACAAGGUAGCCGUAUCGGAAGGUGCGGCUGGAUCACCUCCUUAAUCGGAUCCCGGGCCCGUCGACUGCA
rnacentral:rRNA from 1 species